CGAACUUUGCAUGUACGAUCCGCUUAUUUCCCCAUCUGGGUUUAUUUGCAGAUGUAAACCGUGUCUGGCUGCAUACAGAUGUCGGAGCCGGACUGCUUCUCCCCAGUCAUUUGCCAAAUGUGGACCAGAGUCAGGCAACGGGACGCUCUCCACGCCUAUGCUACUUCCACAAACAGUGACAAAGAAAGGAUGGGCCAUACGCAUGACCACAGACAAUGCCAAAGUAGCCAAAGUGUCUCAUUCCACCUUCCUCCUCUGCUUCCUUCUCCUCCCUUCAGCUUAAAGCCACCACCUGGCUGCCAGAGCAUCAAUUUCAAAAGCACAGAUCUCUGUUCUUGCAAGUAGCCGCUCUUCAUGGGAAACACAGGCUGUCACGAUGAUGUCACUUGAGGCAGUUAAGGAGAAAGGGGGGAUGGUCCCAAGAGGGAGUCCCUUUUUGCUGGACCCCUGAGAGACUUCAAUACCUAUGCGAUCACUAUCACAGUUGAGGUGAAUAUAUCUGCAGACAUUGCCAUUCAUUUAGCUGUCUAAGUUUUAAUUAAGCUCCACAUAAUAUGUAUUAUGUAGGCUAUUCUAGAAACAGAGAAUGCAUGUUAGGUGGGAACGAAAUAAAAGAUCAUUGAU